GCACAUCGUCCAAUAAACACAGCGUGCC
rnacentral:sRNA from 1 species